rnacentral:rRNA from 1 species
UUUGAAGAGAGAGUUCAAUAGUACGUGAAACUGCUUAGAGGUAAUUGGGUGGGCCCUCGAAAUCCUGGGGCGAGGUUAUUCAGUGACUGGUCCUACGCGCGUCGUGGUCGUUCCCCCUAAAAAGGGCGCGAUCGCGGUGUGUCGGAGGCUCCGGCUACGCAUUUGAUCUCGCUCGAAAGGACGCCGCAACCGGUUGAGUGUCGGCCUUAAGGGCGGGACCUGGAAGGUGGCCGUCGGCAUCCCCUCGUGGGGCGUCGGCGGUGUUACAGCCAGUUCGCCGCACGGCGCGUCGCUCGACCGUGGUUCUGUCGGGCCCUUAUUGGGGUCCCGUCGUCUCCCUUUGAGUGCGGGGGUAGGAUGGCACGGGUGCGCGGCUUCCACUCCCUGGCUCACGUACUCGAGGUCGUGGCCGGGAGUGCCGUGUAUCUGAUAGCUGCCUGCCUGUCCGUAUGGGACUGGACGUUCGUGGCGAGUAGAUCGGUCACCCACCCUUCCC